rfam:Streptococcus sinensis strain HKT4 scaffold55, whole genome shotgun sequence.
AUCAAAUGAAGACCUCCUAACUUUAUUUGAUGAAAUCCUAAAACUUUUCUUUUUCAUAAUAAUCUCCCUAUAAGAACCGCCCAAUCGGCGGUUUUUUU